rnacentral:rRNA from 1 species
AACGAACGCUGGCGGCAGGCCUAACACAUGCAAGUCGAGCGCGCCCUUCGGGGUGAGCGGCGGACGGGUGAGUAACGCGUGGGAACGUGCCCUUUUCUACGGAAUAGCCUCGGGAAACUGAGAGUAAUACCGUAUACGCCCUUUGGGGGAAAGAUUUAUCGGAAAAGGAUCGGCCCGCGUUGGAUUAGGUAGUUGGUGGGGUAAUGGCCUACCAAGCCGACGAUCCAUAGCUGGUUUGAGAGGAUGAUCAGCCACACUGGGACUGAGACACGGCCCAGACACCUACGGGAGGCAGCAGUGGGGAAUCUUAGACAAUGGGGGCAACCCUGAUCUAGCCAUGCCGCGUGAGUGAUGAAGGCCUUAGGGUUGUAAAGCUCUUUCAGCUGGGAAGAUAAUGACGGUACCAGCAGAAGAAGCCCCGGCUAACUCCGUG